UUUAGUGUUCUAGUCACCAUGGCAGCAGAUGGCAGAUACAUGCGCUUUAAAUAAGAGAGACAUAAAAGCUAACAUUACACGAGCUGAUAGCGCCAAGAAGGAGCUCAGCGAUAGACUGAUGGUCCAACAUGGCUCGACUCGCUUUGAUUACUGUUUUCCUGCUCACUUGCCUCUUGUCCCCUGUCUACACUGGCACGUGGAUAAGUAGAGCUGCGGUGUGUUUUCAAUUAACAUUGGCAACAGAAAUUGUCACCUGGAGUACAACAACGAAGACGAUUACCCAGAUUGUUGUGCGCCUGUUAUCAAAUGCGAAGAUGAAGAGGAAAGUGAUGGAGAUGAUUAACAUGGAUGAGGACGUUGGCCAGAUUUUAGAUUGGCGUCGGUUGAAUCGCCAAGGUUUAUUUAAUAUUUAAAAAAAAUGGCCCAUUAUGGUAUCUCGUAUGUGAAAAUGUAACAAUAAAAGACUUGUAUUACACUAAA
rnacentral:sRNA from 1 species